rfam:Gossypium hirsutum cultivar TM-1 chromosome 19, whole genome shotgun sequence
UUGUUAAAAUUUCGUCCAUUUAUACUGUUAAAAACUGACGUAGCUAACGAAAUAGCCAGAUAAUUAUAUUUGGUGUGCCACGCGUACCUCAAGCUAAUGUAUAGGGACUAAGUUUUAAUGGUAAAAAUAGAUGAAUUUUUUAAAA